CUGUAAAGCACAAAUUAAUUGAAAAUCAUAACUCGGGUUUGAAAUAAUCCCCAAUCACAAAUAUAUUUAGUUACCCAUAAAAUAUUCACAAAUAACUAACAAAUUCUUACAAAACAUUGAUGGAAAAUAGGAAAAAGAAAAACUUAUUGAUAAAGAGAGAAAUUGUGAGAAAUCUUCAAUAUCAAUGGGUCUCCUUUUCCAAGCUAUUAUAACAUCUCCAUGUUCCAAUCUUUCUCCAAAUUGUGCAAGAAGAACUAGGUGAAAAGGAGGAAAGACAAACAAAAAGAAAAGAAAAGCAAAAGAAAUUCAGCAAGCAAAACGUGCUCGCCGGCUGCUGAAG
rnacentral:lncRNA from 1 species